CCUACGGGUGGCAGCAGUGGGGAAUAUUGCACAAUGGGGGAAACCCUGAUGCAGCGACGCCGCGUGGGUGAAGAAGUAAUUCGUUUUGUAAAGCUCUAUCGGCAGGGAAGAAAAUGACGGUAUCUAAGUAAGAAGCACCGGCUAACUACGUGCCAGCAGCCGCGGUAAUACGGAGGGGGCAAGCGUUACCCGGAUUUACUGGGUGUAAAGGGAGCGUAGGCGGGAGGGCAAGUCAGAUGUGAAAGGCGAUGGCUAAACCCUAGGACUGCAUUGGAAACUGUUAGUCUAGAGUAUGGGAGAGGUAGGUGGAAUUCUUGGUGUAGGGGUAAAAUCCGUAGAGAUCAGGAGGAAAACUCAUUGCGAAGGCGACCUGCUAGAACAUAACUGACGCUGAUGCGCGAAAGCGUGGGGAGCAAACAGGAUUAGAUACCCUUGUAGUC
rnacentral:rRNA from 1 species